UUCAUUAUCUGUAAUUAUUUCGGUUACUGUUUGUUGUUGAUAUUUUUUCUUCGGUGAUCGUGCAGAAUCGUGUCGUCACAAAAGCUCCAAAAUUUAAAUUGGCCGGAAAGAACAACGCGAGCAUUUCCGGGCACAAAAAACAACCAGAGGAGGGAUCGGAAGCGGUAAUUCAAGCAGCGAGCAUAAUCGAAACAAAAUCUUGACCCUGCAGAUCGGAUUCACCCACCUUGCCGACUUGCUUCGUUGAAGAGAUUAUUCCCGCCAAUUAAGCCGAUGAAAUUGCCGAUCGGAAGCAUCUCGCUAAAUUUCCGGCGUUCGUCAGCGAUUUCGACUAGGCUAAAUUUCCGGCGUUCGUCAGCGAUUUCGACUGCGAGGCGUUGCAAAGGGGUGAUUUUUUCUGACAUGGAAACAGAAAGAACGGAAAAACGCAACAG